GGAAGAGUCAAAGUUCAGGAGCUAGAGGCGCCGGGAGCCUGGGAAAUGGAAUACCCCUACACAACCAAGAUGCUGAGUUCCUCCCUGAGCCCGCAAAACGGCACCUGGUCAGACACCAUCUCUCUGCUCUUAGCUCUUGGCGUUGCUCUCUACUUGGGCUACUACUGGGCAUGUGUGCCCCAGAGGCCUCGUCUGGUGGCUGGGCCCCAGUUUCUGGCCUUCCUGGAACAACACUGUCCAGUCACUGUGGAGACUUUCUACCCGACACUGUGGUGCUUUGAGGGACGGCUGCAAACCAUCUUCCGAGUCCUCCUGCAGUCUCAGCCUGUGGUCCCUUACCGGAGUGAAGUCCUCCAGACCCCAGAUGGAGGCCAGUUCCUUCUAGACUGGGCCGAGCAGCCUAACAGCACUCACUACCCGGACCCUACCACCCAGCCCAUAGUACUGCUGCUUCCAGGCAUCAGCGGCAGUAGCCAGGAGCCGUACAUCUUACACCUAGUUAACCAAGCUCUGAAGGAUGGCUAUAGGGCUGUUGUAUUUAAUAACCGAGGAUGCCGAGGGGAAGAGCUGCUGACUCACAGGGCUUACUGUGCCAGCAAUACUGAAGACCUAGAAACAGUUGUGAAGCACAUAAAACGUCGCUACUCCCAAGCUCCACUGCUGGCUGUGGGCAUCUCUUUUGGAGGGAUACUGGUGCUUAACUAUCUGGCACAGACUGGGAAGGCUGGAGGCUUGGUCGCAGGACUGACCAUUGUCUGCAUGUUGGGAUUCCUUUGAGACCGUUGACUCCUUGGAGACCCCACUCAACUCACUGCUCUUCAAUCAGCCACUCACUGCUGGACUCUGCCGGCUUGUGGCCAGGAACCGAAAGCCAAUUGAAAAGGUGUUGGAUGUAGACUUUGCGAUAAAGGCCCGCACGAUCCGCCAGCUGGAUGAGCGCUACACAUCUGUGGCUUUUGGGUAUAAAGACUGUGCGGCUUAUUACCAAGCCGCAAGCCCAAGAACCAAGGUAGAUGCCAUCCACACCCCUGUUCUCUGCCUCAAUGCAGCAGAUGACCCCUUCUCCCCAGUCCAUGCCUUCCCUCUGCAGGCUGCCCAGAAGUCUCCCUAUGUGGCCCUGCUCAUCACAGCUCGGGGUGGCCACAUUGGCUUCCUGGAAGGGCUGAUGCCCUGGCAACACUGUUACAUGAACCGCGUACUACAUCAGUAUGCCCGAGCCAUCUUCCAGCACUCAGUGGGGCUACCUGACCUGGGAGUACUCACUCCUGAAGAUGGAAAGAGCUGACAAGAGGACUGCUGGGCUCUCGGUUCAAUUGUUCUCUCUUUAUUAAAUAUCAACUCUUCCUGCCUAACGAG